rnacentral:rRNA from 1 species
UACGUAGGGUGGCAAGCGUGUCCGGAAUUAUUGGGCGUAAAGAGCUGCGUAGGCGGUUUGUUGGCGUUCGGCUGUGAAAUCCCGAGGCUCAACCUCGGGUCUGCAGUCGAUACGAGCAAACUAGAGUGCGGUAGGGGAGAUUGGAAUUCCUGGGUGUAGCGGUGGAAUGCGCAGAGUAUCAGGAGGAACACCGGUGCGAGGGCGGGUCUCUGGGGCCGAG